rnacentral:lncRNA from 10 species
UUCCAAGUAGCUGGGACUACAGGCGCCCGCCACCUCGCCCGGCUUAUUUUUUGUAUUUUUAAUAGAGACAGGGUUUCACCGUGUUAGCCAGGAUGGUCUCAAUCUCCUGACCUCGUGAUCCACCCGCCUCGGCCUCCCAAAGUGCUGGGAUUACAGGCGUGAGCCACCGCGCCCGGCCUCAUUCCUCCAUUUCUUAAGAAACUUACUCUCAAGAUGAAUCUGGAUGACUAAACUCAUCAGGGACAAGGAUAAUAUGGCCUCUUGGGUGCUUUCCCUUCAAACUGAACUUUCCUAAAAUCUCAGAAGUAGCGGUACCAUACUCAACCUAGAAGAAAGGGCUCUUCACACUUGGCUCCUCACUCUUCUUUCUCCUGCUACCAUGUAAAGAAGGUCUUGAUUCCCCUCCAACUUCCGCCAUGAUUAUAGGUUUCCUGACGCCUCCCCAGCCAUCCUAAACUGUGAGUCAAUUAAUCCUCUUUUCUUUAUAAAUUACCCAGUCACAAGCAGUUCUUUAGAGUAGCGUAAAAACAAUUACAGUGAAUUAUAGAAAUAUUUUAUUAUUAUUAUGGUUGAACUGCUUUGAUUAUAUAUUUUUAUAAUGUAUCAAAGUAUAUGCCUAAAAUGUUUUUUUAAAAAUAGGGAAGCUAUACUUCAAUAAUGUAGAUUAUUUAAACAAUUAAGAAUAUGCGAAGUAGAAUGACUUUUUCUGUUGUUCUAAAAUCUUGCAAACAUAAAAUAGAAUAUUUGUAGUGUUGUGUUUGGGGACAUGUUACACAUUGAUGCCCUGGUUUGAGUACUAUGAAAACUAAAAAAUAUUUUCUAAAAAUCUCUCUUAAAUUCAUUAUGAAAUUUUACUUUAAUAUAAAAUUGAUUAAACCAUGUCCCCAUUUUAUUUCAAUAGGCAAUAUACUAUUAUUGUUCUUUAGAAAUAGGAUUGUCUCUGAAGUGAUUUGAGAUUAUGAUGUUAAGAUAAAAAAUGAACAUAAAUAUUUACACAAUAUUCAUGGCCUUUAUUCACUGGUUCAUUGCUUUUUAUUUUGUUUUGUUUGCUUUGUGAUCUACUUCUCAGUUCAGCAAAAAUGUCAAUUCCUUAAAUAAAC